UGGUGGAUUGGUCUGUCUGGUUUAUUCCGAUAACGAACGAGAUCUCAGCCCCAAUAAGUAGCGGCUACGGUCGCCGUCAAAGCAUCGGUUAGUCGUAGUCCGAAGUAUCUGCCGCAAGGUGGGUGCCUAGGGCGAAAGCUAGCCGGUGUGGCGGGCGUAGUCCUUGAUCGUGGGCCCUAAAAAGCCCCGAUGCUUCUUAUAGGGACUAUCCGGUAUAAUCCAAGCGGGGGAAGUGAGGCAAUAACA
rnacentral:rRNA from 1 species